UACAGAGGUCUCAAGCGUUGUUCGGAUUCAUUGGGCGUAAAGGGUGUGUAGGUGGCGCCGUAAGUCGGGUGUGAAAUUUCGGAGCUUAACUCCGAAACUGCAUUCGAUACUGCGGUGCUUGAGGACUGGAGAGGAGACUGGAAUUCAUGGUGUAGCAGUGAAAUGCGUAGAUAUUCGGAGGAACACCAGUGGCGAAAGCGAACUUUCUGGGACGUUCCUGACGCUGAGGUUCGAAAGCUCGGGGAGCAAACAGG
rnacentral:rRNA from 1 species